UACGUAGGGUGCGAGCGUUGUCCGGAAUUAUUGGGCGUAAAGGGCUCGUAGGCGGUUUGUCGCGUCGGGAGUGAAAACUCAGGGCUUAACCCUGAGCCUGCUUCCGAUACGGGCAGACUAGAGGUAUGGAGGGGAGAACGGAAUUCCUGGUGUAGCGGUGAAAUGCGCAGAUAUCAGGAGGAACACCGGUGGCGAAGGCGGUUCUCUGGGCAUUACCUGACGCUGAGGAGCGAAAGUGUGGGGAGCGAACAGG
rnacentral:rRNA from 1 species